GAUAUUUCCAUACCUUAACAACGGGCAACGACUUGGCAAGCCUAAAAAUUGUCCAGACGCGCUUUACGAAAUGAUGCUCCAGUGUUGGGAAUUUUGUGCCGAAGAUCGACUAAGAUGUCAAGACGUGGUACAGCGUAUUGAGAAGCAGGUGUGCUUGAAUGUGUAUUCUUGAGAAUUUAGUAUGAAACCCACUCUUGGUAUAAGCAUAUUGCAAGCAGCAAAGUCCAAUCAAAGCAAGGAAGGAUUUUUUAUACAUUUAUUAGACCUAACAGACUUAAGAUGGAGCAGUUCUGAAAACAAUGGAACUAUCGGCCGUCCGGAUGGAAUAGAGCCUGCGGUCCUGCGUUUCCGCAUUUCCUGCGUUGUUUCUAACCAAUUGAGCUACAGAGACACGUUUUUUGAGACUCUAAAGCCGGUUUUCCACUAGGCGCAAUUUUGCGCGCGCGCACAGGGGGUCCAACUAAGUGCUGUGUUAUGAAUAUGAAUAAAACAUUAAUUAAACGUAAUAUGAAUAAAACAUCAUAACGUAAUAUAUUUAAAUUAUUGCACUUACUUGUAUAAAUCAUAAGAGCUUGUAUUUCUAGUGAAUAGCUUCAAACAGGACGCUUAUAUAUGUUCAGAAACAUUGCUUCGAAAGAUUGUUCAAAUAUGGCGAAAAAAUUGACAAAACGAAAAUAUUAUACAUGUAACAAAACAGAUAUAGUUAUACAAAUAACAGCAGAGAUUGCGGGCGCGCGAGCGAAAAGGCGAGGGAAGAAAUAAAUAAAAGGGAUGAAACAAAUAUCACGUGACUUUUUAAAAUGCUUCUAGACUAUCCGUUUAAGCUUUUUGUGGGUUUUUUAAGGCUCAGUCGAUGUUCUCUUACAUGAACAACCCUAGCCAUUACCAAAAAAGCACUGAUCAAUCUAAUUUGUGUGAUUUAUAACAUCGAGCAUUCUUGGCCAUUUUCGCGAGAUGUGUUCCAUAAGUAGGCUGUUCUCGUGACGUAUGACGAAAUAAUAAUAAAACUAAAUAAUGUAAAAAAAAACAAAAAACGUUGGUCGCUCCAUUUAAGUAUUUCAUAUUAGCCGGUAUAGCUAAACAUUGUUUAUUUUCAUUAAUUAAGCACUUAGGCGUUGUUGGAGUGGCAGGAGGCGUUUUGGAAUUUUCCGAGAGAACAGGCUACUUAUGGAACACAUCAAACGAUCCCAUUACCGGUGUAUCAUCCCUUCUAUUAAUAUCUAUUACCCUCGCCUUCCGCUCGCGCCCGCAAUCCUUGCUGUUAUUUUCGAUGGAACGUCAUGUAAUAUUUUCGUUUUGUCAAUUUAUUCGCCAUAUUUGAACAAUCGUUUGAAGCCAGUGGCAAUGUUUCUGAACAUUUAUAAGCGCUCUGUUUGAAGCUAUUCACUGGAAAUACAAGCUCUUAUAAUUUAUACAAGUAAGUGCAAUAAUUUAAAUAUAUUACGUUAUGAUGUUUUAUUCAUAUUACGUUUAAUUAAUGUUUUAUUCAUAUUCAUAACGCAGCUCUUAGUUGGACCCCCUGUGCGCGCAUUGGAAAUUUUCUUUGUCUUUUCUAAUUAGUUCCACUCGAGAAAUCAGAAGAUAAAGAAAAAUUCCGCUCCGCGCGCAAAAUUCCGCCUGGUGGAAAACCGGCUUAACAACAAGUUUACGUACGAAUACGUAUAGAUGAUGCGACGGUGUAGUAUUUAAACUUGAACUUUUGUUAGAGCUCGACAACUGGCUCGUUGUAGCUCAGUUGGUUAGUGCGCUACACAAAAAUCGCGAGGCCAUAGCUACUAGUGUAGGUUCGAUUCCUGCCAGAGAGCCGAUAGAACUGCUUCUGGAUAGGUGUAAUAAAUGUACAAAAAAUUCCAUCAAGAUUUCUACUCAUCCACAAAUAUCUUCAACAAUUAGUUCAGUGCAUUUUUUAAGGAUUCUUCAGUGGUGGGGCAAAACUGCCAAAGGGCCCAUUUUUCUUGCGCUCCCCCCGGAAUAGUAUGUGAUCGCCGAAGAUGUGAACCGAGUACCGCAGGCACGAGUUAGCUACGGGGUCUGGGGCAUGUCCUCCUAAGAAAUUUCUAAAAUGUGGGUCUCUGAAAUAGCAUUUCCUGCAUUCUAAGAACACAUUUUUUUAAAAAUCUCAGCUUCUCAAAGCAAAGUUCUAAUGGUGAAAUAAGUAAUAAAUUGCAUGCUAAACAUUCAAACACAACAUAAGUUUAAGUAUGCUCACCAACAAAUUUUGUUUUUUUAAACGUCUUUUCAAUGUUAAACUCAUUUACUCAAUACAGGUCCCAGGGUCCUGGCUUUGAGGCAAUAGGCCAUUUUUUCUCUCAGUGGUGGAGCAGCGGAAGGGGCCCAGUGGGGCAAAUGCCUCACCACUCCAUGGUAUUAAAAAAUGCCUUGAAUUAGUUACACUGAGUGAAAUGCCCCGAAUUCUGAUAUCAUUAAAACAAACCAAUUUACAUUUGCUGCAGAAACAGUGAAAGAGACAGGUUUGCUCUGUGUGAAAGAUCUUCCAGAAAAUGAUGGUAUCUUCGUAAUUAGCGGAAUUCUAGUGUUAGAUAUUAACCAGCACUAUUUACAAUUUUGUAUUAUAUACCAUCUUUUAAAUAUAAACCAAGAGGCAACGUACGUAACAUUUAACCACAUUCGUGAAUUCCUUGACCUCAAUUAAAAAUGGUCUCAUUGGAAUUGAUUUUGAUAGUUUAUACGAAAAAACCGUAGAUAUCUUAUAUACACUAGAUAGCGCAUCUAUUUUAGUAAAAUUGAAGCCCAGAAUAUUCCAGCGGUUACUCCCAUCUGAAUAGAUGGCGGCCAUGUUGCUAAUUUCCACUCGCUAAUAAACGCUUAAAAAACAAC
rnacentral:lncRNA from 1 species